rnacentral:misc_RNA from 1 species
CACCAGCUGUGGGCAAUGGCGGACAACGACACACAUAACUCGAACGGCACAGGUCCGGCCGCCCAAGUGUAAUGGAUGUUUGUGUGUGUGUGUGUCUGAAUGGCUGGCGGACCAUAGGGCACUCUGAAUGCCAUGGCACUGGAUCCGGCCACCAACUAAGGACGAUGGCGAUGGCAUAACUCGAACGGCACAGUGGCAGAGAUGUGUCCAAUCAGUACACAGCGUUCCAGGAUAUCUGGUUGUCAAGAAGGAUCCGUCUCUGGAGUGGCGGCUGGCGUUGGCCCUAACGUUUCUUGUGGUGGCUGUGGAGCUGGGGCAGCCACUGUUGCUGCUGCGAUUGUUGGUGGAUUUUGCGAUGUCACUGGAACUGCUGGAACUGCUGGAGUUGCCGUCACUGCCUGGGAUUGGAUGAGCGAGUGCCUGGCUGCAGGAUCCCUCGCAGGAUUGGCGUUUCGGCUUCAUCUUCUGCCGGGAGCGGUUGUUGGCAGGCUGCUGCUGCUGUCGCUGUCGCUGUUGU